rnacentral:rRNA from 1 species
UGCAGCCGCGGUAAUUCCAGCUCCAAUAGCGUAUAUUAAAGUUGUUGCAGUUAAAAAGCUCGUAGUUGAAUUUCGGGGUUCUACCGUUGGUCGGGCUUUGUCUGUACUGGCGUGUAGAAUUUCUACCUUCUGGGGAACCAUCAUGUUAUUAAUUUAACGUGGUGGGAAACCAGGACCUUUACCUUGAAAAAAUUAGAGUGUUCAAGGCAGGCUUAUGUCUGAAUACAUUAGCAUGGAAUAAUAGAAUAGGACGGUGGUCCUGUUUUGUUGGUUUCUGAAUCACCGUAAUGAUUAAUAGGGAUAGUUGGGGGCAUUAGUAUUCAAUUGUCAGAGGUGAAAUUCUUGGAUUUAU